AUUGAACGCUGGCGGCAUGCUUUACACAUGCAAGUCGAACGGUAACAGGGUGCUUGCACCGCUGACGAGUGGCGAACGGGUGAGUAAUGCGUCGGAACGUGCCGAGUAGUGGGGGAUAACGCAGCGAAAGUUGUGCUAAUACCGCAUACGUACUGAGGUAGAAAGUGGGGGACCUUCGGGCCUCACGCUAUCCGAGCGGCCGACGUCUGAUUAGCUAGUAGGUGAGGUAAAGGCUCACCUAGGCGACGAUCAGUAGCGGGUCUGAGAGGAUGAUCCGCCACACUGGGACUGAGACACGGCCCAGACACCUACGGGAGGCAGCAGUGGGGAAUUUUGGACAAGGGGCGAAAGCCUGAUCCAGCCAUGCCGCGUGUCUGAAGAAGGCCUUCGGGUUGUAAAGGACUUUUGUCAGGGAGGAAAUCCCUAGCGUUAAUACCGCUGGGGGAUGACAGUACCUGAAGAAUAAGCACCGGCUAACUACGUGCCAGCCGCCGCGGUAAAAC
rnacentral:rRNA from 1 species